GGAGGCUUAGCUCAGCGGUAGAGCAAUCGACUGCAGAUCGAUAGGUCCGUGGUUCAAUUCCGCGAGUCUCCU